GGAGAUUGUUUACAGUAUUCUUGUCUGAAAGGAUGAGAGCUGUAAUUUAAGAGCGCAAUCUUCACUUCGCCCCUUUUCUGCAUAAUCCUUGUUUAGCCAAAAGGCGUAGAUAACAAGUUCAUUAACAAGAAAAGCAAAGAGUCUCUUAACGGUUAAGAGCAUAGGGCACUUUACCUCUGAAACAAUGAGGUGCAUUAAACCCGCAAGGUUUGGUGUUCAUGAUGAAAGGUCAGGUUGGUUCGUACCCAUUAGACGGUCGGCAGACUUGUACUGAACUGAGUAAUUGUGUAGAUAACUUAACCGAUAAGACUGAUGAGCUAUACUCAUUGUGCCUGAUACUGUACUAAUCGCAAGAUUGGUGGACAAAAGAGGGAAUAGAUAAUCCUCUCAAAGUGGUAUCGCAAAGCCUGUAGUCUCAAGGC
rnacentral:ncRNA from 1 species